rnacentral:rRNA from 1 species
ACACAUGCAAGUCGAACGAGCAAGAGAGAGCUUGCUUUCUCGAGCGAGUGGCGAACGGGUGAGUAACGCGUGAGGAACCUGCCUCAAAGAGGGGGGCAACAGUUGGAAACGACUGCUAAUACCGCAUAAGCCCACGGUGCCGCAUGGCACAGAGGGAAAAGGAGCAAUCCGCUUUGAGAUGGCCUCGCGUCCGAUUAGCUAGUUGGUGAGGUAACGGCCCACCAAGGCAACGAUCGGUAGCCGGACUGAGAGGUUGAACGGCCACAUUGGGACUGAGACACGGCCCAGACUCCUACGGGAGGCAGCAGUGGGGAAUAUUGCACAAUGGGGGAAACCCUGAUGCAGCGACGCCGCGUGGAGGAAGAAGGUCUUCGGAUUGUAAACUCCUGUUGUUGGGGAAGAUAAUGACGGUACCCAACAAGGAAGUGACGGCUAACUACGUGCCAGCAGCCGCGGUAAAACGUAGGUCACAAGCGUUGUCCGGAAUUACUGGGUGUAAAGGGAGCGCAGGCGGGAAGACAAGUUGGAAGUGAAAUCUAUGGGCUCAACCCAUAAACUGCUUUCAAAACUGUUUUUCUUGAGUAGUGCAGAGGUAGGCGGAAUUCCCGGUGUAGCGGUGGAAUGCGUAGAUAUCGGGAGGAACACCAGUGGCGAAGGCGGCCUACUGGGCACCAACUGACGCUGAGGCUCGAAAGUGUGGGUAGCAAACAGGAUUAGAUACCCUGGUAGUCCACACCGUAAACGAUGAUUACUAGGUGUUGGAGGAUUGACCCCUUCAGUGCCGCAGUUAACACAAUAAGUAAUCCACCUGGGGAGUACGACCGCAAGGUUGAAACUCAAAGGAAUUGACGGGG